UGUGUGUCUGUGUGUGUGUGUGUUGUCUGAGCGUUCAGCUAAAUCUGUCAAACAGCAAAUACAAACACAAAAUACAAAUACAAAUACAAGAGUACGAAGUACAAAUCCAAAGUACAAGUAAAUAAUAAAAUCAACUUGAAAUUCCGUUCGGGUUGUGUUCUCGUAAUGUGCCUGAAAUUGAUUUUCUUUUUGCCAGACAACCAGGCAUCAGGCGCAGAGGAAAUGUGCACGACGGAAGCGGGAGGGGGGCGUGCGGCAGCUCCUCCGAGCACACACACACACACACACACACGUCGCCGGAGUGCAUAUCCUGAGGACAUAAAAUUAUCAGCAACAAACACAUCUGUUUCAUAGUUUGCUGAGACUGAAGACUUAAUCAAAUGCCAGAAUCCCCAUCAUUGAAGUAUGAGAGCUGACUUUCCUCCAGCUUAACGUACGCUCUCUUGGCUUCCAACCACUUCCUUUAUUAUUACUAUCUUCCCUUAUCUACUACAUAUCCAUUCACCCUGAUCCUUAUUCCAAUUCCAAUUCAUCUUAAGAACCGCAGUCAGCUACAAAAAAGGGGACCCGGCAUUAAAUCCCAAGCCCAUUGUAAGCCAGGACAAACUUGUCAACGCAAAUGGUGCGCCGCAGGACCACGCCUAAUGCACUUUUGAUAGGCGCCACAAGCAGCAGCAGGGGAGAGGAGGACGGGUAGAAGAAAAGCAGCAGCAGCAGCAGCAGCAGCAGUAUCAGCAUCAGUUAGCAGCAUGUCCAAAACAGCAGCCAUUGAUAAAUUAUCAUGUGGACAUCAGCCUGGAGGGGGAGCGUUGGACCCGUCAUCAGGUGCAGCAAAUGAUGCUGCAUAAAAAUAAAUAUAACAAAGAAACUAAAAGUCUUUCUCCCCCCCUCGCGGCGUAAAUUUUUAAUCUAUUUUAAAUGUGGUUUAUGGUACGGUGCGACCGGAUGAUGGUUCACAGCGACCGUGCAUACUUUUAACUGGUCGGUGGGACUUUCGUCCGUUUGUAACGCCAUUUUUCAACGAUUUAUCAAAUCAGAUUGCAUAUAUCAAACGUGUUUAUUUACGGCCCUAGCGACGGCCCACUUAUCGCUGCAACUGUUAUUUUUAAUGUCGUCCAAUUGUCGGCUCAUUAAUUAGAUAUUAAUAGAAAUAAAUUGUGAAUGCGUUUUUAAUUGUUGUUUAAAUAAAGCAAAUAAAUCAAGCAA